rnacentral:lncRNA from 1 species
AUGUUAAAAUUAUUAGUACUGAAAUUAGGCCUGGAAGUGAGAGAAAACUGUAUUAAGUGUGACCAAAGAAGACUAAAUCUUUUCCACAUGAGUCAACAUUGCCAUACUAAAAAAUUGAUUAGCUUGUUGCAUUUGUUGCCAAAAUUGGAUGUUCGGUUACAGCAUAUUUAAUUCCCAUUUGUGGGAAUUUUGAAAUGUAAAGACUGUUGUCUUACCUGGUUAGCCCUGAACUAAGCCAACAGCGUAUCUGCAGGAAAAUAUCUUAUUUAUAGUAAUAUGCCUGAAUACUGCUUGGUUUCACUCUUGAAAUGAUUUAUUUCAAUUAAUUUGUAUAAACGUUAUGAGUGGAGAGAUCAUCUACAUGUUAAAAGCACUAUAUAUCCAUUUUUCAAAAUCCAUACAUGUAAAACUAAUACAAUUACAGAAGUAUUUCCUAAACACAGUGUUUAACAAAAUUCUCCACAGUAAUUCACCUACUGUUUGCAGUUUAUGUGAUCCAAACUCUUAAAGAAAUUGCAUAAAUGUAUAUGUUGUAUUAUGUAUCAUUUCCUUGUCCAAAGAAAGUAUGUGAAUUCAGUUCUAACUUUAAGAAUGUACUUUUUGUUUUCAAGUCCACUGAAGAAAUUGCAUUCAAUCUGUGAGUGGUUGCAGAUUGUAUGAAAUGAAAAGUAGAAAUAAUUCUAGCUCGCAAAACUGGUGCCACUAAAUAAACAGGCAAUUGCAUAAUGUGUGUGUAUCUAUGAUUAUUUGAUACUGCAGGCAGCGUUUUUGUUCUGCAUAGAAACCUGGAAAUUUUGAAUUUAUUUAUUAGGAGACCUUAAGAAAAUUUUUGUUCAACUGAACUUGGUUAAUUUGCUUAAAAAGAUAGAUCUGAUAGUCACAGUUUGAACUAGACUUGUCCCUCCCUGAUUUUAGGAAGAUGAUUGAAAGCCAGUAAGUUCAGAUUGAUGAUUAUUUUCAUGAAACAUCCCAGAAACCAAAAAGCCAUAAGUUGUCCCCUUGGCAAGAACAUACCGUUUGUCGUCUUAUAGAUGUAUAUUUCUUACUCCCUUAAAGAGUUGAGACUGUAUGGGGAGUGGCCUGGAAAAGGACUUCUCCACCUAGCUAGUAUCCCUCGUGUAGUGCCUGCUUCGUAUUAGACACGUGUUUAGGAUGCUUACUUCCUCUGCUCAUUCUGAAAAUUGGUUGUACGACCUCUGUCCUGUGUUCAUUCGUGUCUGAAAGUGUGACUUAUUUUAUAGGCUUGCAUAGUUAGAGGGAUUUUAGAGUACAUUGAAUUGAUGAUGUAAGUGAAGUUCUGUGAACUGCAAGAGCUUAUUUUGUUCAUUGUAAAAUGUGUAAUGAAAACACAGUAAUGAGGGGCAUCAUAGCCAAAGGUAGCAAGUCUUACAACUAAGUAAGGUUGAAGUAAAAAAGGAUUCAUUUGGCUUAUGCAUAACUAGUAUCUGUUCACUGGUCAAAUUGUGUCCUGAAGUUUUGGUUUUGUUUUUUUUGUAGUUAUUCUUUUGAAUGUUGAAGGUAGGUUUUUUGUGGGGUUUGUUUUUGUUUAGUAAAAAUUGUUUCAGUUUUUUCCCUUAAUUGAUCACAUGCUGAGAAGCUGAUAUUGGGGUACCCUUUUUUUUGUUGUUAUCACUUAGUAGCUCAGACUUGAAAUUCCCAUCAAAUCACAGAAAUUUUGAUUCUAGUUGAAAAGUCUGUUCUUAGAUAAACUACCCCAAAAAACUUGGCUUGCAUGCCCUCUGUAGGACUUGGUUAACUUGGCACAAAACCACUGGUAAAAGAUUUCUGUUCUGCUGCUGCCUGUUGUCUACAUGAUAUUCAUAUUUAUUCUCAUACCUAAUAUAAGGUGAUUCAGAGUACCUAAAAAGCUUUUGAUAAAAUUGUGUUUCAUGUUAAUAGUUGUACUGUUACCUGAAUAGUGCAUUAACUAAACACACUAUAUGAGUGUCAUUCUCUGCUGUAGUUUGGGUACCAGCUUGGGUCUUCCAGAUAAAUCAUUUUCUCUAUGGCUUUCCUUAUAGCUACACAAAUGUUUUUCUAGACACUUGACCUAGUGAAAUUGACAAUAUUUGAUCAUUUUUGAUCUACCAAAAUGGCAGUUUUUAUCUGGUUCCAUUUAAUAGUUUCUGAAGUUACUAAAUGAUCAGAUUGCAAGUCAGUACAAUUGACCCUUGAACAGUGCGGUGGUUAGUAGUGCCGACCCUCUGUACAGUUGAAAAUCCAAGUAUAACCUUACAGUCAGCCUUCUGAAUCCUUGUUUUGGCAUCAGCAGACUCAACCAACCACGGAUUGGGUAGUACUGUAGUACAUAUGUAGUGGAAAAACUGCCUAUAAGUGGACUGCGCAGAUAAACCUGUGUUGUUCGGAGGCCACCUGCACUUCUCAGUAUUUAUAUUUCAAUUAAAUCAUGUCUCCUUAGGAUUGAUCCUUAGAACUGGAUGACAAGUUUAAAGAAAAGCUAUAGCUUUGAAAACAAUUGCCAAUAUGAAGUUCGGUAAAUGGACAAUACCAAAUUUGUAAUUCCUACCUUGAAAUUAAAUGAAAGCUCGUAAGACAACUUUUUAUUUUAAAUUACUAACUUAUUCUUUGUCUUUCCGACUUUUCACAGUGCCCCUAUAGUUGCUCUAGGAUAGAUCAACUUGCUGCGUAGACAUUUGGUAUGAGAAAUGUUAUUCCAGCAGUGACCCAGAAAGGGAAUAAUAUUGAAUUUAAAUGUUCAGGCAGAAUUAUAAUAAAGCAUAAAAAUAAGGUGGGAAAAUGAUGUUUAUGGUUUUAUUUUUAAUUACAUAAUUGAGGUGAGUGAAGAGUUCCUUUCAGACAUUUUAUUAAGCCUGUUAAGAUGUAUGGAUCCAGCUCAGUCUGUGACUGUGAGACAUCAUUGAAGUUGAUGAGAAUCAUGCUCUUAAGUUCAGUCCUUGUUAAAGGUGGGUGAAAGCUCUAACUUCAUUCUGAGUGAUGAUCAAACUCUGACUUAGGUUGUAUCCAUGCUGUGCCCUUCCUAAAGAUCUUUUAUAUUUUGCUAUUUGUGUUUGUUUUGGUAACAAGUAUUUAAAAAUCAGAGGGUUUGCUAGAAGAGUUUGUGACUAAGUCUAAGGUGUUAUGUAUGUACCUUAUAUUAGCAUCCUGAAACCAUUCCAGGAUUGUCUUUUAAAUUCUCAAUAUAACAUUUUGAAUGUAUAGUUGAUUCUAUUUAAUGAAGAAAACAAAGUUUAACUAUAUGUCAUUAUGAGAGCACAGUUAUUCUCAAUUAUUUUAGCCAUUGAUCUUUUAACUGCCUAUUAACAAAACUGAAAGGUUUUUUAAACUAAAAGUCUCCAAAACAUUCCUAACAAAAACUAAAAUUUUCUAGUGACUGGAUGAAGUAGAAGCACAUGGGAAGUAACUUUUUAAACUUAGCAUUAGGCAAAUAAAAGUAUUUAUGUAUCUGAUGUAAAUUCAAUUUUUAUAACUGUCUUCUUUGAUGUUCUUUGACAGACUCUUUGCAGCAGUGAUCCUUAAUAGAGAGGGGUCUUAUUAAGGGCAAUAAAACUGCUUCUGUGCCUAGAUCACAGAAAGGGAGCUUACUUGCUGUCCUUCCUUAGUAUUUCCUUUUCUGUCUGAAAUCAGAAUAAUUGCC